AUCUACCUUCUCUAAAGCAACCAUCAUUUUCUCUUAUUUCCCUUUUGUGGAUUAAAGCCACCUAAUCUUUCAUUUUUCUUCUUGGCAGCUUGUAAUAGUCCCCUAGCUCAAGAUUGCUUCUAAGUAGACACACCAAGAGAAGUCAGGGUUAAUUUUUAUCUAUAGAUGGCAUCAUCUUGGACUCCAAGGCAAAACAAACUAUUUGAAGAGGCCCUUGCUAUAUAUGAUAGGGAAACCCCUGACAGGUGGCAGAAUGUGGCAAGAGUAGUGGGAAAAUCCGUAGAGGAUGUUAAAAGACACUAUGAAAUCCUCAAAGAAGAUAUCAAGCGCAUUGAGCGUGGACAAAUCCCAUUACCUAACUAUGCAGGUUCUUGAUGAUCUAGAAAUCAAAAUCAAUCCAAGAUUAGCAAACUCAGUAGCGUGGAGUGUCCCUUAUAAAUAAAUGUAUCAUCAUAGCAAGUCCUAAUAAAGGACUUUGCUUUCUACGUAAAAUAUGUGUUAUUUUCUAGGUCGUGUUGUUAAAUAUGUGACUGUUUGUCAAAUAAGGAGUUUGCAUUAUAAAUUUAGCAUGUUUGUCAA